AAUCUGUUUUCUGUGUGACUGUCAACUAGGCGUAUUAAACAGGUGGACUCCAUACUAAAAUAAAAAUUAAUAUGACUGUGCCAUUGUGAAUACACAGAGCCCAUAAGGGGACAAGGGGGCAGAAAAAAAAAGUAAUAACUGCAUUGAGUCUAAUCAAAGAACAAACUAUAUAAACAAAGGAUUUGUAAUUAUUAAGCUAAAUAACACAUAUGUCCAGUAAAAUCCGCUUUAAGCAUUAGAAUAUGAGGGACUAGUGGGUCUCCUAAUCAUCUCCUAUAUCUAACUGGUGAAUUCUCUCCUGUUCCUUGACCAUCUUAGUCACUGUGUGGUGAGUGUACUGGCAUAGAAUGGCUGCCGUCGUAUUUUUUAGGUGCUACACCGUGGUGGUGGUUGAAGUGGCUCCCCAUUGUAAAGUACUUUGGGUGUCUUGAUAGGCAUGAUAUAAAUGUAACAUUCAUUCAUUCAAAGGUAACUUUGCUACAGUACUGGAGUUAAGGUUAAAACCCGAACCCGCUUUCUAGAAUAUUUCAGUAUCAAUCCGCAAAUCCCUAAACACAUGUUCAGGCAGGAAUACCAGGAAGGUAUUCCAGAAAACAAAGGAACUCAGAAACACGGAUGUGAAUGUGGAUGUGAAUCAUCCCACAACAUGUUCAGAUCAGUGAAACUGCUUCCAGUGGAGUCAUUAGUAAUCAUUCUGCCUGGUGUCCCAAUACAUAGAAAGUUAAUCUGGAAGGGGGAGAUGUGAACAUCCCAAGCAGCUAAUGCAGGG